AGUCCUGAGGGGUAGCUAACAGCUAUAGUGUGUAUUUGGUCAUUGGGUUAUAGAAGAGUCAUAUACUUACUAAUAUAAUCCAUAGCAGUAACAGAAUGCAAGUUCUCCAUUGUUAGGGGCUGUACAUUGCUAUGUCUUCUUAGUCAAUGGGACAAAUUGGAUCAGUCUUGGAUCAGAUUCUUCAAAGCCAAUGGAAUGGUUUGGCUGCAGAGAAGGUCAUUUAAUUCCAGUGUGUAUGUGUGUGCUCAUGUUUGCCUGUGUGCCUGUGUGAGAUUGUGUGCUGUGUCUAUGCAUUUGUGUACCCAUGUUUGCCUGGGUGUGCUCGCGUGUGUGUGCCUGUGUGUGCCUGUGUGUGGGUGUUCGUGAGUACAUAUGUAUGUGCAAAUGCACGUGUGUGUGACAGAUAUUGCUCGGCGUGUCAAAGACAGGCCUGUGAGGUGAGAGCCCCCCAUCAUACCCAGUGACAGGGGUCUGGGAUAAUGAGGUCCCUAAGCAGAACACCAAGACCCCUCUGUCACACAAUCACACAUGGUGUCAGGGCAAGCACACACACACACACACACACACACACACACACACACACACACACACACACACACACACACACACACACACACACACACACACACACACACUGGUGGUUAAUUUCUUUACUAUAAAAUGAGGAGAGACAAACUUAUCACACAAGUCAGAGUUAUACUAAAACUAAAUCAUGAAUCACUUAUUAAUAAGGGAGCAGGUCAAUACAAUGCACACAUAUAAAGUUAAUACAUUGAGUGCUCUACGAUAAUGAUGACUUGUCGACGAAUCACCCUCAGAUGAUUCGUUGAGAGCCCAGAGACAAAAGUACAAAGGUAUUUUAUAGCCAAGAUACACCCCUUUCAACCUACAUGACAAACAACAGAUGUAUAGAAUGGGUCACAAGGUUAAGAUAUGUAUGAAAGAUACAUAUAAUUCACAGCAGACAGUAUCUACUGUAAAAACAGUUCUCUAUCCCUGGUACCAUAUAGAACAGAAACAUUAACUCAUGCUCUGGAAUGCAGUCUCUUUGUGUUUUUAACACCCAAAAGACAUUGUAAAUCUCGUGUCAGUGUUAUCUCCCAGAGGCCCAUCCUCGGUAGAACACACUGUUACAUCUGCUCCUGCCACGCCCUCUAGUGCUCAUCCCGUGUCUCCUUGACCUGACGCCACUCCCCAAGUGCUCUCUCUCUCUCUCUCUCUCUCUCUCUCUCUCUCUCUGUGAGUGGAGACAGGUGUGCUGGAGUCAGAGCAGAUCCCCACCAGCUGCAACCUGUUCCAUAAUCAAGACCUCUACAAAUACUCAUUCCUGCCUCUUCCACGCUGCCAGAUCGUAAUCUCUGCUCAUUCUGCCCACUCUGACUCUGGACCCUGUCUCCAGUCCGACUUCUCGUCAGUCCUGCUACUCUGUCCUGGUUUCCCCACUCUACGGCUCCCUUGGAUUCCCCUCCGGACCUGCUUACCCUGUCCUACAACACCUCUCGCUCUCGCACCUGGUUUCCGGCAACACUCCCAAGCUUCCCCUGACCUACACUCCAUCUUCCCCCUGUGUUCCAAUAAAUACCUUGCUUACUUCA